rnacentral:lncRNA from 1 species
CAGCGUUUGGCGGGAUGGCGGCGACCGAGUUCCCCCUGAGCUCCCCGCUCCAUGGCGGCCCGUCAGCGCUAGGUGGUAGCAAAGUGUCGGCGUGAGGGGAGGUUUUCCUGAGGAAUGGGUAAAAGUCGUGACCUCGCCUGGACCUUUGUGAUCUCUGCCAGGCUCUUCCCAAGAACAGGAACUUCUCUGCCUCGUACUGGGGAAACAAGAGCAGUAUCACCUGACUCACAGGCUGUGCUGGGCGAAAAACAGUCCUUCAUAAGGACCCAGCUUCAUUUUUGUUUUCAGCUCUUGCUAGAAAAGACUUUCUUCACUGACCUCACCACACCAUGCAAAGAAAUGGGCAUGGAGGUCCUGUGUCUGUUCUCACUUAGGCUCUUCAAAGAAAUCUCAACUGCCUCGUAGCCACUUUAAAUAGGAAGAUGUUGGAGAAACGGCUUUUUUUUGUUAUUUUUUCUUUCAAGUACUGUACUUGGUGCAAUGACUCCUGGCGGCCUUUUGGGUCGCCAGGUGGGAUCUCCCAUUUCCAAACUGGAGUACAGUCUAAGUCUGUUUUCCUCUUGUGCUUCUCAGCCUGGUUUCCUGUCGCUGCUGCUCUCAAGCUGGUGCUGUAUUCUCUUUUUGUUCCAUAUACAUCACCGCUGCAGAGUUCACUGAGGCUUUUUCCCAUGGAGACACUUGUGUAGAUCCCUGCUAGAGCUGCUGGACCUCAUGUGAGCUUGUAUGCCAGACAUCUUGGGGCACAUCCCACGGCCUGAGCUGCUUUGCGAUGCUUUGCCAGUGAAUUACACAAGUUGGCUGUCUCUGUGGGCACUGAGGGGAUUGUGGAUGACACAGGAGGACUCCCAACCACCUGAAUGAUGCAGACUGUGCCCUACCCGCAAAGUGAGUGGUUUACCACUGAUGUUAACAUGAUCCCUCGCUGUAACCUACAGCCCCUGCCAAAUCAGAGAGACUGAAGGAAGCACCACAGCAUUUAAAGGGAAAGCCUUUAAUAUGUGGCAGAAAGGAGGCUCAGGGAAAAUGCUUCAAGAAAAACCUUCUGUACUGAAGACAGAAUUUCUUUCCCAUGUUAAACAAGGCAACUCCAGCUUUUCAGUCAUGUUAGUGAGAAGGAAAUCAAAUCCCACAGUGGAUUACAGCACUGCACAUGGCUCUGUUGGAGAGCUGGCACUAGUUAUUAUUUAAGAGAAUGUAAAUUAUGUGUCCUUAUUUGUCUUUUCUGCAAUUAGGGAAAUACCCAGUCAAUGUAAUGAAUAGCAGUUUUUAAGGGUAAGGGUACUGAAUGCACAGCAGCUGUAACUCAUUGCCUUAUCAUAUCCCAGAGUGAGAGAGCUGGGAGAAAACUGAACCUUCCCACAUCUUAGGAAGAGUCACAGUACACGCAUGAAUUCUCAACAUUUAAAGACUAGAAAUCAUGAUUCAGAGAAAAUGCCAACUGCUGAUGGACAGGGAUUAGGAGAAGACUCUGCUCUGUGAGCAGAUUAUUCUGCGCUGUGUCACUUGAGAGUUUCAAGGUUUUUUGGCGUGAGAGACAUUGACCAUUGCCAAGACCAGACACGGGACAUGAUGCACCACGGAUCUGACGCGAAGGGAGAGCAUCCAGCAGGAGACUCUGCCCACUGGGGUGCUUGGUCAAGUGCCGUGUGAACUCCAGCUCCAAAGCAGUGAUGAGGUAAAUCAGUGUGUCUCCCUCUCCCAGGCUUUGUUCUUUCAUUUUUCUAGUUGCCCUGGAUGCUUGGAAGGGGGAGUUCAUCUCAACCAACACGAUGGCCUAAGAGUUAUUGAAGUCUGAGCUGGUCACCUCUCAAGCAAUCAGCUGAAAUAGGAACAUGCAGAUGGCAAUUGUCUCACAUAUCUUAGGAUCUGUUGUUUAUGCAAGAGACCAGACUGACUAACUGUGAUUAAGAAAGCUAACUUUUCAGCAUUUAAAGGGAGGUGGGGCAAAUCCCAUCCAAAACAUUCAUCAGCAUCAUUCUCUGGUAUUGCAAAUCAUCGCAGAAUCACAGAAUGGUUUGGGUUGGAAGGGACCUUAAAGCUCAUCCAGCUCCAACCCCCUGCUAGGGGCAGGGACACCUUCCACUAGAGCAGGUUGCUCCAAGCCCCGUCCAACCUGGGCUUGAACACUGCCAGGGAUGGGGCAGCCACAGCUUCUCUGGGCACCCUGUGCCAGGGCCUCGCCACCCUCACAGUAAAUCUCCCAAGCUUUUUCCCCCAGGGAACCAAGUUAAACUGAUUGCUUCACAGGUGUUUCUGUGGCUUCUUAAGUCCGAACUGUUGUUUCUGCCUUUUUUUUUUUGUAUCCAUUAGGUAGUGUGUAGCUUCUUGUGGCAGCAGUUCAGCACUAGGUCUGUGUUACAAACAGCAAAUGGCUACAGAAGGAAAUUAUGGGAUCCUGCAGCAAAGGUUUUUAUUUUUUCAGCAAUGAGCAUAUUCACUGGAAACAUAAAGUUCCCAGGGAUUUGUAUUUAUGAUGCUGUAAAGUAAGUAACAGUAAUGUCCAGGAAUGUACCAAGCCAAGUAGUCUCUAUCGUUGACGUAACAGCACACCUACAUAACGUCUUGAUGUAACUCCUACCAAUUAUGUUAUUAGAAUAAAAAUGUACUUCCAACA